rnacentral:rRNA from 1 species
AUUGAACGCUGGCGGCAGGCCUAACACAUGCAAGUCGAGCGGGGUGAUGGUGCUUGCACUAUCACUUAGCGGCGGACGGGUGAGUAAUGCUUAGGAAUCUGCCUAUUAGUGGGGGACAACAUCUCGAAAGGGAUGCUAAUACCGCAUACGUCCUACGGGAGAAAGCAGGGGAUCACUUGUGACCUUGCGCUAAUAGAUGAGCCUAAGUCGGAUUAGCUAGUUGGUGGGGUAAAGGCCUACCAAGGCGACGAUCUGUAGCGGGUCUGAGAGGAUGAUCCGCCACACUGGGACUGAGACACGGCCCAGACUCCUACGGGAGGCAGCAGUGGGGAAUAUUGGACAAUGGGGGGAACCCUGAUCCAGCCAUGCCGCGUGUGUGAAGAAGGCCUUAUGGUUGUAAAGCACUUUAAGCGAGGAGGAGGCUCUUUUGGUUAAUACCCAAGAUGAGUGACGUUACUCGCAGAAUAAGCACCGGCUAACUCUGUGCCAGCAGCCGCCGUAA